rnacentral:rRNA from 1 species
CAAGUGAGGCUACCGAACGUUGGAAACAGCGGUUAGGAGCUUACACCCACCCGUGUUUACAUACUAUUGUUGCUUUGGCGGGCCGUGGCCUCCACUGCGGGCUCUGCUCGUGUGUGCCCGCCAGAGAACCAAACUCUGAAUGUUAGUGAUGUCUGAGUACUAUCUAAUAGUUAAAACUUUCAACAACGGAUCUCUUGGUUCUGGCAUCGAUGAAGAACGCAGCGAAAUGCGAUAAGUAAUGUGAAUUGCAGAAUUCAGUGAAUCAUCGAAUCUUUGAACGCACAUUGCGCCCUGUGGUAUUCCGCAGGGCAUGCCUGUUCGAGCGUCAUUUAACCACUCACGCCUAGCGUGGUAUUGGGGCACGCGGUCUCCGCGGCCCUCAAAAUUAGUGGCGGCGCCGGUGGGCUCUAAGCGUAGUACAUACUCCCGCUAUAGAGUCCCCCCGGUGGCACGCCAGAACCCCCAAUUUUUACAGGUUGACCUCGGAUCAGGUAGGGAUACCCGCU